GGAAUAUUGGACAAUGGGGGCAACCCUGAUCCAGCCAUGCCGCGUGUGUGAAGAAGGCCUUUUGGUUGUAAAGCACUUUAAGCGAGGAGGAGGCUCCCAGUAUUAAUACUACUGGAGAGUGGACGUUACUCGCAGAAUAAGCACCGGCUAACUCUGUGCCAGCAGCCGCGGUAAUACAGAGGGUGCAAGCGUUAAUCGGAUUUACUGGGCGUAAAGCGUGCGUAGGUGGCCAAUUAAGUCAAAUGUGAAAUCCCCGAGCUUAACUUGGGAAUUGCAUUCGAUACUGGUUGGCUAGAGUAUGGGAGAGGAUGGUAGAAUUCCAGGUGUAGCGGUGAAAUGCGUAGAGAUCUGGAGGAAUACCGAUGGCGAAGGCAGCCAUCUGGCCUAAUACUGACACUGAGGUACGAAAGCAUGGGGAGCAAACAGGAUUAGAUACCCUGG
rnacentral:rRNA from 1 species